rnacentral:rRNA from 1 species
CGGGACGGGUGAGUAAUGCUUGGGAAUCUGGCUUAUGGAGGGGGAUAACUACGGGAAACUGUAGCUAAUACCGCGUAAUAUCUUCGGAUUAAAGGGUGGGACUUUCGGGCCACCUGCCAUAAGAUGAGCCCAAGUGGGAUUAGGUAGUUGGUUAGGUAAAGGCUGACCAAGCCGACGAUCUCUAGCUGGUCUGAGAGGAUGACCAGCCACACUGGAACUGAGACACGGUCCAG